UAUUGGGGGCACAGCCACACACCUACUGGUCAUUUCCUUAAAAUGUUUGAAAAUAUUGGGGAAGGGGGAAGGGGGGGGGCACAUGCCCCUAAUGCUACGGCCCUGCAAUUCAACUAAAUUGAUAACCCGUUAUUCAAACGCUAAAGGACAAACUCUAUACCCCUCUGUAACUAUAUUUCUUCCUGGAAUUGGUGCGAUCUCAAUGUAAUUAAGGUGAAGAGGGAUCUUACUAAGACCCUUCAUCUGUAUGAGUUUGGCUUUAUUCGGUUCAAUUGCUAUCGAAUAAAAGCCAAUUGUCACGAGUGGUUUUCUGCUAAUUUCUUUCUGGAAAAUAGUGCGAUCUCAAUGUAAAUAACGUGGAUGAAAGAUCUUACUAAGACCCUUGAUCUAUAUGAGUUUGGUUUGAUUAGGAUCAAUUGCUAUUUAAUUAGAGUCAAUUGUCACCAGUGGUAUUCUGUUAAUUUCUUCCUGGAAAUUGGUGCGAUCUCAAUGUAAUUAAUGUUGAUGAGAGAUCUUACUAAGACCCUUCAUCUGUGUGAAUUUGGUUUGAUUAGGAUCAAUUGCUAUUUAAUUAGAGUCAAUUGUCACCAGUGGUAUUCUGUUAAUUUCUUCCUGGAAAUUAGUGCGAUCUCAAUGUAAUUAACGUUGAUGAGAGACCUUACUAAGAUCCUUCACCUGUAUGAGUUUGGUUUGAUUAGGAUCAAUUGCUAUCGAAUUAAAGCCAACUGUCACGAGGGGUUUUCUGUUAAUUUCCUCCUGGAAAUUGGUGCGAUCUCAAUGUAAUUAAUGUUGAUGAGAGAUCUUACUAAGACCCUUCAUCUGUAUGAGUUUGGUUUGAUUAGGAUCAAUUGCUAUCGAAUUAAAGCCAAUUGUCAUGAAGGGUUUUCUGUUAAUUUCCUUCUGGAAAUUGGUGCGAUCUCAAUGUAAUUAAUGUUGAUGAGAGAUCUUACUAAGACCCUUCAUCUGUGUGAAUUUGGUUUGAUUAGGAUCAAUUGCUAUCGAAUAAAAGCCAAUUGUCACGA